rnacentral:rRNA from 1 species
UAGCGGUGAAAUGCUUAGAUAUCACGAAGAACUCCGAUUGCGAAGGCAGCUUGCUGGACCGUAACUGACGUUGAUGCUCGAAAGUGCGGGUAUCAAACAGGAUUAGAUACCCUGGUAGUCCGCACAGUAAACGAUGAAUACUCGCUGUUGGCGAUAUACUGCCAGCGGCCAAGCGAAAGCGUUAAGUAUUCCACCUGGGGAGUACGCCGGCAACGGUGAAACUCAAAGGAAUUGACGGGGGCCCGCACAAGCGGAGGAACAUGUGGUUUAAUUCGAUGAUACGCGAGGAACCUUACCCGGGCUUGAACUGCAGCGGAAUGAUUUGGAAACAGAUCAGCGAGCAAUCGCCGCUGUGGAGGUGCUGCAUGGUUGUCGUCAGCUCGUGCCGUGAGGUGUCGGCUUAAGUGCCAUAACGAGCGCAACCCUUACCGAUAGUUGCCAUCAGGUGACGCUGGGGACUCUAUCGGGACUGCCGUCGUAAGAUGUGAGGAAGGUGGGGAUGACGUCAAAUCAGCACGGCCCUUACGUCCGGGGCUACACACGUGUUACAAUGGGGGGUACAGCAGGCUGCUACCAGGCGACUGGAUGCCAAUCCCUAAAACCCCUCUCAGUUCGGACUGGAGUCUGCAACCCGACUCCACGAAGCUGGAUUCGCUAGUAAUCGCGCAUCAGCCACGGCGCGGUGAAUACGUUCCCGGGCCUUGUACACACCGCCCGUCAAGCCAUG